rnacentral:rRNA from 1 species
CCUACGGGUGGCAGCAGUGGGGAAUAUUGGACAAUGGGGGCAACCCUGAUCCAGCCAUGCCGCGUGUGUGAAGAAGGCCCUCGGGUUGUAAAGCACUUUCAGUGAGGAAGAACGCCUGGUGGUUAAUACCCAUCAGGAAAGACAUCACUCACAGAAGAAGCACCGGCUAACUCCGUGCCAGCAGCGCGGUAAUACGGAGGGUGCGAGCGUUAAUCGGAAUUACUUGGCGUAAAGCGCGCGUAGGUGGCUUGAUAAGCCGGUUGUGAAAGCCCCGGGCUCAACCUGGGAACGGCAUCCGGAACUGUCAAGCUAGAGUGCAGUAGAGGAAGGUAGAAUUCCCGGUGUAGCGGUGAAAUGCGUAGAGAUCGGGAGGAAUACCAGUGGCGAAGGUGGCCUUCUGGACUGACACUGACACUGAGGUGCGAAAGCGUGGGUAGCAAACAGGAUUAGAUACCCCUGUAGUC